CCGAGUUUACAACUCCCAAACCCCAUGUGAACAUACCUACUGUUGCUUCGGCGGGAUUGCCCCGGGCGCCUCGUGUGCCCCGGAUCAGGCGCCCGCUAGGAAACUUAACUCUUGUUUUAUUUUGGAAUCUUCUGGAGUAGUUUUUUACAAAUUAAAUAAA
rnacentral:misc_RNA from 1 species